rnacentral:lncRNA from 1 species
CGCCUUCUCUCGUCAAACCCAUGCGCCCCCAAUUCCGGAAACCCUAGUAAAUGAAGGAACCCCAAUUCCAUCUCAAACCCUGGUUCCGUCUCAAGCACUUGGUCCAAAUUCAGGAGAAACCCUAAUUCAAUCUCAAACCUUGGAUCCAAAUUCAGGAGAAGCCCAAACCCUACCUAUGACGAAACGUGUCAUGGAAGAAACCCCAAUUCCGUCUGAAACCCUGGUUUCAAAUUCCGAAAGAAAAGAGACCCUACUUGAAUCUCAGACCCUAGCUCCUUUGGCACAAGCAAAUCCUCACGAGCCUAAAGAAUAUGGGUCCCUGGUGUCAGAUUCAAAGAAAAACGAAACCCAGGAAUUUUCGGGUGCAACAAGCAUGGAUGUUGAGGGUGGUGUUGCUGCUGCUGAUGAAGAUGAUGAGC